rnacentral:pre_miRNA from 1 species
UUUUAUUGUUAUGUUUUAAGGCAAGAUGUUGGCAUAACUGACAACAAUUCGAAAGGAUUAAUUUCAGUUACGUUAGCACUUACCAGAUAGCAAAACAAA